AACGAACGCUGGCGGCAGGCUUAACACAUGCAAGUCGAACGCACCGCAAGGGGAGUGGCAGACGGGUGAGUAACGCGUGGGAAUCUACCCAGUUCUACGGAACAACUGAGGGAUACUUAAGCUAAUCCCGUAUACGCCCUACGGGGGAAAGAUUUAUCGGAAUUGGAUGAGCCCGCGUUGGAUUAGCUAGUUGGUGAGGUAAUGGCUCACCAAGGCGACGAUCCAUAGCUGGGCUGAGAGGAUGAUCAGCCACACUGGGACUGAGACACGGCCCAGACUCCUACGGGAGGCAGCAGUGUGGAAUAUUGGACAAUGGGCGCAAGCCUGAUCCAGCCAUGCCGCGUGAGUGAUGAAGGCCUUAGGGUUGUAAAGCUCUUUCAGUAGGGAAGAUAAUGACGGUACCUACAGAAGAAGCCCCGGCUAACUUCGUGCCAGCAGCCGCCGUAAGAC
rnacentral:rRNA from 1 species